rnacentral:misc_RNA from 1 species
GAUUAAUCAAAAUAGUCCAAAACCAAUCACAUGGAUUUACAUACACGCGUAACCUGCAGCAAGCCAGUCUAAAAUGUUACUAAUAACAAGAUGCUAUUGAUCCUUAUUACUAUCCCAUACAAAAAAAAUGGAAAAAAAAAUUAUGGUCUUGAUUUUUUCAUCCAUAUGGACACCAAUUAAGAAGCCCUUCUUUUGAAGUGUAUACAGAGAUUCCCAAAGGAAAAGAAAAAAGUCCUGGUACUGGUAUUUGGCUGCUAAGUACCUCUUCAAUGGAAAAACGGAUGACAGUGGAAUUGUUUUAAGUCCCCGAAGUGCUUUGGCUCCAUAAUCCAUGACUUUAGUAUGAUUGGGGCCAGAUUAACAGGAAAUUUUGAAUAGUGGGAGCCAUGCACUUAUUAAAAG